rnacentral:rRNA from 1 species
AGUUUGAUCAUGGCUCAGACUGAACGCUGGCGGGAUGCUUUACACAGCGCCCAGUCGAACGGCAGCACGGACUUCGGUCUGGUGGCGGGUGGCGAACAGGUGAGUAAUGUCGGAACGUGCCUAGUAGCGGGGGAUAACUACGCGAAAGCGUAGCUAUUACCACGCGCAUACGCCCUUCGAGGGGAAAGCGGGGGACGUUCGGGCCUCGCACUAUUAAGCGGCCGAUAUCGGAUUAGCUGGUUGGUGGGGUAACGGCUCACCAGAGGCGACGAUCCGUAGCUGGUUUGAGAGGACGACCAGCCACACUGGGACUGAGACACGGCCAGACUCCUACAGGAGGCAGCGGUGAAAUUUGGACAGUAAGGAAACCUGAUCCAGCCAUCCGCGUGUGCGAUGAAGGCCUUCGGGUUGUAAAGCACUUUUGGCAGGAAAGAAACGGCACGGGAUAAUACCCGUGCAACUGACGACAUACCAGAAUAAGCACCGGCUAACUACGUGCAGCAGCCGCGGUAAUACGUAGGGUGCAAGCGUUAAUCGGAAUUACUGGGCGUAAAGCGUGCGCAGGCGGUUUCGGAAAGAAGAUGUGAAAUCCCAGGCUUAACUUUGGAACUGCAUUUUUAACUACCGAGCUAGAGUGUGUCAGAGGGAGGUGGAAUUCCGCGUGUAGCAGUGAAAUGCGUAGAUAUGCGGAGGAACACCGAUAGCGAAGGCAGCCUCUGGGAUAACACUGACGCUCAUGCACGAAAGCGUGGGGAGCAAACAGGAUUAGAUACCCUGUUGAGUCCGCCCUAAACGAUGAUGUCAACUAGCUGUUGGGCCUUCCGGGCCUUGGUAGCGCAGCUAACGCGUGAAGUUGACCGCCUGGGAAGUACGGUCGCAAGAUUAAAACUCAAAGGAAUUGACGGGGACCCGCACAAGCGGUGGAUGAUGUGGAUUAAUUCGAUGCAACGCGAAAAACCUUACCUACCCCUUGACAUGUCUGGAAUCGAAGAGAUUUGGGAGUGCUCGCAAGAGAACGGAACACAGGGUGCUGCAUGGCUGUCGUCAGCUCGUGUCGUGAGAUGUUGGGUUAAGUCCCGCAACGAGCGCAACCCUUGUCAUUAGUUGCUACGAAGGGCACUCUAAUGAGACUGCAGUGACAAACCGGAGGAAGGUGGGAUGACGUCAAGUCCUCAUGGCCCUUGUGGUGGGGCUUCACACGUCAUACAAUAGUCAGGACAGAGGGUCGCCAACCCUUGAGGGGAGCCAAUCCCAGAAACCCAGUCGUAGUCCGGAUCGCAGUCUGCAACUCGACUGCGUGAAGUCGGAAUCGCUAGUAAUCGCGGAUCAGCAUGUCGCGGUGAAUACGUUCCCGGGUCUUGUACACCGCCCGUCACACCAUGGGGUGGUUUUACCGAAGUAGUUAGCCUAGCAGGGCGAUUACCACGGUAAGUUCAUGACUGGGGUGAAGUCGUAACAAGGUAG